CAGGCUGCAACCCGCCUGCACGAAGCCGGAAUCGCUAGUAAUCGCGGAUCAGAAUGCCGCGGUGAAUACGUUCCCGGGUCUUGUACACACCGCCCGUCACACCAUGGGAGUCAGUAACGCCCGAAGUCAGUGACCCAACCUGAAAAGGAGGGAGCUGCCGAAGGCGGGACGGAUAACUGGGGUGAAGUCGUAACAAGGUAUC
rnacentral:rRNA from 1 species